UUCCCAGACUCCUACGGGAGGCAGCAGUGAGGAAUAUUGGUCAAUGGGCGGAAGCCUGAACCAGCCAAGUCGCGUGAGGGAAGAAGGCCCUGCGGGUCGCAGACCUCUUUGGACGGGGAGCAAGGCCGCCGACGUGUCGGCGGAAGGAGAGUACCCGUAGAACAAGCAUCGGCUAACUCCGUGCCAGCAGCCGCGGUAAUACGGAGGAUGCGAGCGUUAUCCGGAUUUAUUGGGUUUAAAGGGUGCGCAGGCGGCACGGCAAGCCGGCGGUCAAAUCGCGGGGCUCAACCCCGCCCAGCCGUCGGAACUGCCGGGCUAGAGUGGGCGAGAAGUGCGCGGAAUGCGUGGUGUAGCGGUGAAAUGCAUAGAUAUCACGCAGAACUCCGAUUGCGAAGGCAUCUCACGAAUCCGCGAUUGACGCUGAUGCACGAAAGCGUGGGUAUCAAACAGGAUUAGAUACCCGUGUA
rnacentral:rRNA from 1 species